rnacentral:rRNA from 1 species
CCUACGGGGGCAGCAGUGGGGAAUAUUGCACCAUGGGGGAAACCCUGAUGCAGCGACGCCGCGUGAGUGAAGAAGUAUUUCGGUAUGUAAAGCUCUGUCAGCAGGGGAGAAAAUGACGGUACCUGACCAAGAAGCCCCGGCUAACUACGUGCCAGCAGCCGCGGUAAUACGUAGGGGGCAAGCGUUAUCCGGAUUUACUGGGUGUAAAGGGAGCGUAGACGGCAGGGCAAGUCUGGUGUGAAAGGCGGGGGCUCAACCCCCGGACUGCUCUUGAAACUGGCAGGCUGGAGUGCAGGAGAGGGAAGUGGAAUUCCUAGUGUAGCGGUGAAAUGCGUAGAUAUUAGGAGGAACACCAGUUGCGAAGGCGGCUUACUGGACUGUAACUGACGUUGAGGCUCGAAAGCGUGGGUAGCAAACAGGAUUAGAUACCCUUGUAGUC